GAUGAACGCUAGCGACAGGCUUAACACAUGCAAGUCGAGGGGCAGCGGGGAGUAGCAAUACUCUGCCGGCGACCGGCGCACGGGUGAGUAACACGUGUGCAACCAACCCCGUACCGGGAGAUAACCCGCGGAAACGUGGACUAAUACCCCAUGACAGCUUUUCCCCGCAUGGGGGAAGGCUUAAAACCCCGGUGGUACGGGACGGGCACGCGCGACAUUAGGUAGUUGGCGGGGUAACGGCCCACCAAGCCGACGAUGUCUAGGGGUUCUGAGAGGAAGGUCCCCCACACUGGAACUGAGACACGGUCCAGACUCCUACGGGAGGCAGCAGUGAGGAAUAGUGGUAAAUGGUCGAGAGACUGAACCAGCCAAGUCGCGUGAGGGAAGAAUGGUCUAUGGCCUGUAAACCUCUUUUGUCAAGGAAGAAUAAGUGUCACGCGUGGCAUGAUGCCAGUACUUGACGAAUAAGUAUCGGCUAACUCCGUGCCAGCAGCCGCCGUAA
rnacentral:rRNA from 1 species